UCUGGUUAUAGAUCUUGAAGUUGCUGUCGAUCUUUUAUGUUCUUCUCCGAUCUGCAGUUCAUCACUUUCUGGUUAUAGAUCUUGCAGUUGCAGUAAGUUUCUUCGAUCUGUUCUUCUCCGAUUUCAGAGUUGCUGUCGAUCUUUUAUGUUUUGUUCAGUUGCUUGAAUUUAGGGAGAGAUAAACGUGUAGGGAGAGAUAAAGAUCUGUAAUUUUAGCAACGUAAUAUUAUGUUGCUUUAUUUUUGUAAUUAUGUUAUUUGUAUUUUAUUUUUAUAAAUACUUUUUAAUUAUUGUAUAUUAGUAUUAAGGACCCUUAAAAUUAAUUAGUACUAGUAGUUUAUAUAGUAGUAUUCAUUUAGGAGGAUUCUAAAGGGUCUUCGCUUAAAAGCUACUGUGAUCCACUUUCAAUUACUUGGUGCCUAAAACAAAACAAGCAGGCAUUUAUAUACUCCUCCGUUUCAAAAAUAUCAAUUUAAAUUAUUUUUAUUUUUGAUAUAAUUUAUUAUUUAUUAGAAUAAAUAAAUCAGUAUUAUUUUGAGGGUUUAUAAUUUUUAUGAUUGAAUUAUCUAAAAUUAAAUUAUAUUAAUAUUUAAUAUCCUAUAUUUUAGAACAAAAAAAUAUAUAUUUAGUAUUUCUAUAUGUAGUACCUCGAUCACGUGACAUUCAUUGCUGGGCUGUCAUGCAUCAAAAUCAAAACCAUUUGAGCAGUAGUCCAAGCUACAUAUUCAAUUAUUAUUAUUAUAAUUAUCACUAUUUAACAUUUUUUUUUUAAUAUGGAAUGAAAAUAUGUUAAAUGAACUGUCUUUGUGGGAUAUGGCGGAGUAUUAAAUUUGAGAUGAUAUAAGUUUGGGUGGUGUAGUGGGUGGGGUUCACAAAGUUGAUCAUCAGUUCCUUUCAAGGUGGCUGGCUUGCAAUUAAGGUCCAAAGGGCAGCCAUGGCUCUAGCAACUGUUGAGGCCUCAUGAGUCAUGGCUGGCUACUUCUCUCUCCUUAAUUCCUUCCCCCACAUGCAUAGCAUAGAUGAUCUCUUCUCUCUCGAUCUCAUGCAUAUACAUAAAGAGAGACCCAGCUGUGAUCAUAUAUACCUAUCUAUCUAGCCAGUAGCCACCAAUGGUGAUGAGGUCUUAUUCAUUUUCCAUGCACAAACAAAUUGUUCCAUUAAUCUUGCCACCAGUACACAUGAUGAUCACCUUCUUCAUCGUGCUAGUCUCCAUCUUCUCCAUCAUAGCAUUUCUAUGUGGCUCCCACAAUUUCCCAGGAUCCCAAAGGCGAAAGGAAGAGAGAACGGCGAGAUUGGGAGGUGGAGGUGGAGGUGAUCAAACAAAAUUACAGAGCAGCAUAGGCACUAAAGCUCUACAAAUGGUCAAGAUGCUUUCUUGGAGGAAAAUGCAACGUCAUGAUCAAGAAUGCAGCAGCAGCAGCAGCAGCGGAGAUGAUGAAGAAGCUGUGUGGAAGAGGACGAUCAUUAUGGGGGAACGGUGUCGCCCAUUGGAAUUUUCUGGCAAAAUUUUAUAUGAUUCUCAUGGAAAUCCUUUGCAUGAUUCUCUAAUUCGUCCCACUCAUGGAAAUUCUACUGGUAAAUAGUAAACCUGCUUGUUAAUUCUUGAGCGGAUAAUUGACUGUUUGGUUUAUUAGGUGAGUUGAUUAGGUUUAAUGUUUUUAUGUAAAGUUUGGUUUUGUGACUUGACCACCUCUUUAUCGAUUGCUGAAUCACCGUUUCAAGUUUUACGGAAUUGUUGAGAAUAAUAGUUUAUGAUCCAAUAUUCAAAAUUACCUUCUUUUUUCCCCUUAUUUAUUUAUUAUUAUUUCUAGUGCGAAUGAAAUGAAGUUCUUAUCAAUUAAUUUAUUAUGAAAAGAAGAAUCCAAAGCUCCCAAAUUCUUCUAGUAUACGGUUCAACAAAAAAAUAUUUUAGUCUGAAAAAGUAUUUAAAAAAUUUCAGGGCCUGCCUAAACCCAAACCCCUAGGACCACAGCAACAGUGGGUGAGACCUAUCUCCCAUCACCAGCACCUAUAUGAUGAUCUUGACAUUAUUGGUUGGGUGCCCACUCGUAAUUUUAGGAAACGCUAGCUUAAAUUGGGAGAUCAAAAGAACUGAACAUGGAUUGUCAGACACAAACAUAAAAAUACAAUUUUGGAGUUGCACUUGUGUACAAAUUUAUAGGUGGAAAAAAAAAACAAUGAAAGUAAAACCAUAUACCUGAUGUUCUGUGAAGCUUUAUCUAAUGCCAUUGCCACCAACUCCCUGAUUCCACUGAACUACUUGUUGAUGCAACAAAGUUGUGUCUGUAUCUCCUUCCUUUGCCGGCAACUCCUCUAUCUCUCCGCAAUUUUGCUUAAAAAGAUGAAUGAUUUUCUCAGCCACCUCUGCUUCAUCUUUGCUUUCUUCAACCAAUUUAUCCAAUUUGGCCUUUGGCAAUC
rnacentral:lncRNA from 1 species